rnacentral:rRNA from 1 species
UACGUAGGGGGCAAGCGUUGUCCGGAUUUAUUGGGCGUAAGGCGCUCGCAGGUGGUUCGUCGCGUCGUGCGUGAAAGACCCCGGCUCAACUGGGGAGGGUCGUGCGAUACGGGCGAACUGGAGGCCAGUAGGGGGAUGCGGAAUUCCGGGUGUAGUGGUGGAAUGCGUAGAGAUCCGGAGGAACACCAGCGGCGAAGGCGGCAUCCUGGACUGGUCCUGACACUCAGGAGCGAAAGCGUGGGGAGCGAUCCGG